UUGCCUCCGUCCCCGCCGCCGACCCCGCUACCUGUUUGUUAAAUUUCCUGCGCUUUCCAUUCCUCCCCCCUCUCCGUCUCUGCUGUGCUCUGCUCUUCAAGAUCAGUGCGAGGAUUCGAGGUCUCCAUCCGACCAUGCCCCGGGAUGACCAACUCCUCGACGAUCUCUGCGCCCUCGUCCUCGCUGCCUUUCGCUCCCCCCGCACCGCCCCGCCGAUGCGCGAGCAGGUGACGCCGGCGGGGUUCGCCUCGUUCCUCCUCGGCGCGUCGGUGGCCAUGAUGUUGUGCGGGUCCAUGACGUUCCUGAUCGGGUUCCUACUGCUGCCCUGGGUGAUCGGCCUCUUGGCGGUGGUGUAUUUCGCCGGGUUCGUCUCCAAUCUGUCCGGCCUGACGAGGGCGAUCCUUCGCCGGAUUUCCGCGUCGAGCCCCGAGGCGAUCCCAGAUAUACUCUCUUCCAAAUUUACAACUUGUUAGAUGUCAAAGGGCAUAAAUCCAGUAUCAAGGAUGCAGGAAGGUUUUGUCGUUCAAGGAUUGGCUUGGUCCAUACCAAUCAAAACCACUUGAUUGAGCUAUAAGAGGUGAAAUCUUUGCAAAGACCCAAGCGAAAAAAACCAUCAACUAUUCAUUCAGCAACAAAGAUGAGGGAUCAAACACUGUGGAUGAUCACUGAAAGUUGAUGAUCUUAUCAUUUAUGUCAACAUUUGCUAUUAAAUUUGGUUAUUAAGUAUUGGGUAGAAUCAACUGUGGAUUUUAGAUCAU